rnacentral:rRNA from 1 species
ACGGUGGCUAAUACCGCAUAACGUCGCAAGACCAAAGAGGGGGACCUUCGGGCCUCUCACUAUCGGAUGAACCCAGAUGGGAUUAGCUAGUAGGCGGGGUAAUGGCCCACCUAGGCGACGAUCCCUAGCUGGUCUGAGAGGAUGACCAGCCACACUGGAACUGAGACACGGUCCAGACUCCUACGGGAGGCAGCAGUGGGGAAUAUUGCACAAUGGGCGCAAGCCUGAUGCAGCCAUGCCGCGUGUAUGAAGA